GCUUCAGUACGCUUCCACUUGCGAGUACCCGAUAUUUUUUCAAAUUGAAUAUUUUCAAUAACUUCAAAUUGUUCUAAAACUUCUACUCCACUUAACUCCUUAUGUGACAGUUGCCGGUCGGACUUACCAUCAAAGUAUUGGUUGUAACAGGUCCUUCAAGAAUGAUUACCAGGUAAAAACCAUCGAUGACCCGUGAAGCAUAUUUUCGUCCAUGCUUUAAAUGUAAAGAGGAUACAUCCUUAUUGCAUAUUGGACAUGCUAGAUAUCCUUUAGUGCUCCACAC
rnacentral:lncRNA from 1 species